rnacentral:rRNA from 1 species
CGGUGGAUCAUGUUGUUAAUUCGACGAUACGCGAAGACCUUACCAGGUCUUGACAUCCCCUGCAAAGCUAUGGAGACAUAGUGGAGGUUAUCAGGGAGACAGGUGGUGCAUGGUUGUCGUCAGCUCGUGUCGUGAGAUGUUGGGUUAAGUCCCGCAACGAGCGCAACCCUUAUUGCUAGUUACCAUCAUUAAGUUGGGGACUCUAGCGAGACUGCCAGUGAUAAACUGGAGGAAGGUGGGGAUGACGUCAAAAUCAUCAUGCCCCUUUAUGACCUGGGCUACAAACGUGAUACAAUGGCUGAAACAAAGGGCAGCGAAGGAGCGAUCUGGAGCGAAACCCAAAAAGCAGUCUCAGUUCGGAUUGAAGUCUGCAACUCGACUUCAUGAAGUCGGAAUCGCUAGUAAUCGCGGAUCAGAACGCCGCGGUGAAUACGUUCUCGGGGUUU